rnacentral:lncRNA from 1 species
CGAGUUAUAAGGUAUUACAUUCGUUUCCAGAGCAAUUACGAUAAAUCACAUUCAAUUCAAACUAUUAAAUGAUCAAUUUUCAACUCAAUCUUGCAUACAAUACAAUAUACAAUAAUUGUAACACCCCAAACCCGGCCCAGAAGUUAUGGCCGGAUCCGGCAUGCCACAUCAAAACGUAAAAAAAAAUUCCAUUCUAAGUCCAGAAAAUCGUACUUGAUGUUCAAAAGAUUAAUUCAUUAAGGGUUAAAGUGAAAGAAAGCUGUGUACCAGGUAGGAAACCGGAAAAGAGGUGGUGAGUCCAUCGGACUGCUUAAGUACCAAGCUCCCUUCGGAUCCAAUCCUAGACAUGCAUACCGCCAUUGCCACACCUUAACGUCAUGGAUAUUUCUAAGAAACCGAUUUGAUUAAGUCAUUUUUAGGAAAAAUGAUUAAUUUUGGAAAAUACUUUCAUUGCGGAAGCUUUGCUUGUUGUCGUGUUAUUUUGAAAUCAACUGUUGUUUUUUAAAACGCGCCCUAAAGCUAUCCAAUUUCAACAGUUAAAAUAAGUAUUACCUAUCUUAGUAAUACAUAUUAAAAACCAUCAAAAAUAAAUAAGCGGCCUUAUUACAUUUAAAAACCCAAAACUUCAAACGUAAAUAAAAGGAUGUCCAGUUCACCAGAAGAAAAUCAAACUUUCAGAACAGGUGGCCACUCCGAAUUCCCUCACAGCUCCAAGCCCACUAUGGUUGGGGAUUACCUGCGUGGAUGAAAAUAAAAGGGGUGAGUUUGGGGAAACUCAGUGUGUAAAUUAACCCAACCAUAGCCUAUAUCAGCUCAAACCACAGAAAUAGAAUAAGUUGGCCUUAGCCCAGAACAGAAUUCAGAAUAAAGCCCAUAGGCCCAUAGCAGAACAGAACAGAUAUUACAUGUUUAUGCAGAAACCCAACCAUAUCCAACCGUAUACACCCCCAUACCAACCUUACACCGUGUGUGGAGACAACUCGACCCACCCAACCGCUACACACCACAGAAUUUGCAGCAUGGCUGCCAGAACAGAUAAUGUGACAGAGUCACCAGAUACAUAUAAUCGUGGCAGAGCCACCAGAACAGAUAUAUGUGACAGAGCCACCAGAUCAGAUAUUUGUGGCAUAGCCACCAGAACGCUUCCUCCAUAAUAUAACCCAUGUCCCCAUGCAACAGAUAUAUAAUCAUGGCAAACAUCAUACAGAAUCAGAUCGUCAUGCUUUUUCAGUCAAAAUUAACCCUAGGGGUGUAACGGUAAUUUUGCACCUAGGGGUAUAACGGUAAUUUUGCACCUAGGGGUAUUAUAGUAAUUUAGCUACUUUUAGGGUUUUCAUGCAUAUCCUAACUAUUUACGUACUAUCAGAACACUUACCGCACAUACUUACUGAAUUGGGCCCGUUGGCCCAUGAACCCGAUCUUUGGCCCAUUAAGCCCAAAUUAUCAAAAUGUACGAAAUCACGCGUACUGCAGUUUAUUACUUUAGAUUACCAAAUAUACAAACCCAACUAUCUUACGAGCAUUCGCACACUCGCAAAUUCCCAAAAUACUGACUUUUCGGCAUUUCGGCUUUUGCCAAUCUAGUCUAUGAGAGGGUGUCAGUUACACACCUGUUUGCGACGAUAUGCUGACGAGAUCCACACACGAACCGCCUACAAUUGGAUUACUAACACGUUAAAACUAUUCAAAUACAAACUACGUAUUAACCCCUUACAAUAUUCGGCCAACCACACCUACAAAUCAUAGUAAGCUUAUAAGAAAUCAAUAAGCAACUCAUUAACAAAUUUUUGUCAAUGUUUACCACAUAAUCAUAAUUUCACUGCAAGCUGUCUUCCUGAGCAACAGUCACUAAAUUAUUUAUAACUGGAGCUACGAAACUCCAAAUCAUGUGCCGUUAAUUUUCCCUGAAAAUAGACUCAUAUAUCUUUUAUCCAUAAAAUUUUCAGAAUUUUUGGUACGGCCAAUCAAUGCCAGAUUUUUCUUAAAGUUUCCCAUCUUUCACUGUUUGACUAAUCUGACCACUCUUCAUUACGAAUCAAAUUUCUCAUUGUACAGAAUUCAAAAUAUGUUCUCGUUUAUUCCAUUUGAAACUAGACUCAUUAAUAUUUAAUUACAUAAUUUAUUAAGCUUCUAAUUCAUCUCCCACAAUUUAUGGUGAUUUUCCAAAGUCACGUUACUGAUGCUGUCCCAAGCAGAUUUAUUACCAAAUCACUCUUUCACACAUACCUUGCAUGCUUGUUAUUUAAACAUGUAUAUCACCAAUCAAUCAUCACAUAUCUAUGAUUUUACUUAAGUAUAAUCUCCAUUUCAUCAUUUUAAAGCACAACAUGUUAGCUGAUUUUUCCCUUUAACAUCUAAGGCACAUGCAUGCUUAUUUGUUUGGCUCAACUUCACCUAUCUUCCAUUUUUCAUCAAAAUAACAUGAAACAACAACCAUUUCCUUCAUUUUAAUUCAUGACUAAAUGCUCACAACACAACUAAAAAUCAAAAUAUACUUCAAGAGUUAAGGUAAAAUCAAGAAGAACUCAUGAACCUCAAAAUAGAAGCAAGGUACCAAGAACUUACCGUCAAUUUUCCUCCUCCUAAUGACCAAAUACUCAAGAGCUUUCUCCUCUCCUUUCUCUUCUCUAACUUUCAGCUAUGAUGAACAAAGAUGGACAAAACUUUGUUCUUU